CGUAGGGUGCGAGCGUUAAUCGGAAUUACUGGGCGUAAAGUGUGCGCAGGCGGCUCCGCAAGUCGAGUGUGAAAUCCCCGAGCUUAACUUGGGAAUUGCGCUCGAAACUACGGAACUGGAGUGUGGCAGAGGAAGGUGGAAUUCCACGUGUAGCGGUGAAAUGCGUAGAGAUGUGGAGGAACACCGAUGGCGAAGGCAGCCUUCUGGGCCAACACUGACGCACAUGCACGAAAGCGUGGGGAGCAAACAGGAUUAGAUACCCUGGUAGUCCACGCCCUAAACGAUGAUGACUAGUUGUUGGAGGAGUUAAAUCCUUUAGUAACGCAGCUAACGCGUGAAGUCAUCCGCCUGGGGAGUACGGUCGCAAGAUUA
rnacentral:rRNA from 1 species